rnacentral:lncRNA from 1 species
AUGGGGCGCUUCAGCCUUUCCUCCCUUGUGGAGCUUGCCCCGCUCCUGCCGCUCACGAUGCAGCUGUGCCUCAUCUACACCGUGGUGCAGCUCAACAGACUGCGGCAUCUCCAGGGGAGGACGAGAAGGCGGAGGAGCGGGCUGCGAACCGAGACGGAGGAGCAGAGAGUUUUUCUCAUGGUGAAGGAAGAGCGGGCAGAGUCGUCGCUGACCCUCGAGAGGCGGUUGAGCAUGGAGGCAUCGGCCGUCUUCUCCUUCCCGCUGCGGGCACCACUGGCCUCCUUCGACUCCAGCCUGCUGGGCACAAGCAGCUCCUCCUCGCUGGCCUCCUUAUCCUCCUUGCUGGAGGGAGCCACGGUGCUGACUACCACCGCCGAGGCUCUGCUCCCGUGCCCUGGGACCGGCGGGAUGCAGCUGGAGGAGGCGGCAGCUCUCCCAGCUGUGGGGCUGGAUCCGGCCUGCGUGGUGCCCGAGGGAAUGGCGGCACUGGGUCCUUCCCCUUGGCAUGCUGCUGGCCCAGGGAUGGAGAGGAGGGACGUGCAACCGCUGGCCACCCCCAAGCUGCGGCCCCGCUCGAGCACCCCGCUGCGCCGAGGGUCAC